UGUCGGAAGGAUAUUCCUGCUUCUGUAAAACUAAUAAAUAAAAGUGUUUAGGAGCUGAUGUUCAAGGUAAGUGCAAGGUUAUACUUAAUGUUCCGUUUCCAUGGCGUUAUUUAUUUGAAAUACCGUUCAUUUGUAGUUUUAUUGAUAGUGGAAAAAAUAUAACCUAAGAUAUGUCAAGUGGGGGAAGUGAGUCUAGUAAUAUUGGGUCAAGAGAAACAUAUGUCCCUCUUUCCCUGUAUCAGAUGUCACAAACAUUUUCAUUGCCUGUGAAACCAUAAUAAAUUAUAAAUUUGUUUAAGAAAUAAUUUAGAACUUAUAAUAAAUAGGGGCAUUAAUUUAAAGAUUGCGUAGCUUACUGUCCCAAUUGGAUUUGUAAUGCGAAAAAAAUAUUUUACCACUUAAUAAAAAAAACGAAAAUAUGCUUUAAAGCUGAGUAAAAUCGUUUUAUAUUUAACAACAAGUAAAGUAUGUUUCUCUUACCCCACCUGACCUUAUCGUAAUUUCGAUUUUAGAUACCUACUAAUACAACGUGGGAACUUAAACCUAAUUGACAAAAAAAACACACAUUAUUCAAAGUAUUUAUAUACAUCAUCUAAAAUUUUGCGAAAAUUACUUAAUCAUAUUUUCAUUUGUCACCAUCCAUUCACCGCCAUCAACGGGGACAAGUGAGACAAAAAGUCCGAACUGUUACCACUGGGAACAAUUGGAACAAAAUAAUUCCCACUAGUUACAGUAACUUGUAGUGGAGACAACUAAGAAUAAACCUAUCCAGAAAAGCCAAUGAAAAAUUAUGUAUUUAUCAUAGUACAUACCUAAUUCAUUAUUUAUUGCAAUAAACGUAAUAAACGUGCAUUCAUAAAAAUAAACUAACGUAUCUAAUAAAUAAAACUAAAAGCGGCCAAGUGCCAGUCGGACUCGCCCAUGAAGGGUUCCGUACCAUUACUACCAUUUAUGGAAAGCCUUAAACAGACUGCGUUCCCAAGUUGGCCGCAGCAAAGACAAUUUCGUAAGGUGGGGCGGCCUACGCAGCUCAGGGGGCCUAUCGCGAAAAUCGAAAUUCGUCAAUUGCGGGCAUUUUUCUCUGUCACUCUAAUUACGUCUUAGUGAGAGUAAAAGAAAAAGAUCCCCGCAAUUUGUGAAUUUCGGUUUCGCGGUAGGCCCCCAGAUACUCAAUGGCAUGCGCAUGAAGCACGGCUCACCAAACGUUGACACACAUGCUGUCCUGCCCAGCAAACCCGCACACAUGUUCCGAGCAAGAUCUACGGGACACAACAGACAGCUUAAUAUAAAACGAUAUAUAAUAUAUACGACGAUAAAUACAAAACCAUCGACACGAGAAGAGACGAUCACGUUUGACUCUGUUGACUGGGUUGUUGAAUAAUCCUGUCCUAUCAAUACAUAAAGAUGUUAUCAUUUUUGAAAAAACUAGUGCCUAACUGCCUACUUCUAUUUUAUUCUUAGGAUUAGUUGUCAAGCGGAUCCUAUAAGGCUCUCAUGAGCCGUGGCAAAAGGCCGGGGCAACGAGAGGAAGAUGAUGAUUGUAAAUAAAUCUAGUAUAAAGCUGCUCCAUAUAAAUCUGUGUGGUGCCCCUAACAUGUAAGUGACACGUAAUUAAUUAUAAUCAGCACUAUUAUUUCAUUUUUAUCUCGUAAAUCUCGCGCGUUCAUCACAGGAAGUAGUUGUAUUGUUUGUCAAAGGUUUCCGCUGCGGGAUCAUGCAAUGGGCCGUAUAAAGAAGGAGCCAGGUGGACUGGACGCAAUGAAGCAGUGACCAGUAAAGAUGAAACACUCGUUUUGUUUGGCUGUCUUUGCCCUGUGCCUCUGCCUAGUGAUGGAGCCAGCACUCGUCAGUGCUGCGCCCUCGUCUUUUGCUGAAGCUGAGAUGCCUUUGAAGCGAGUCGCCCGACAAAUGCCGCCACCACCGCCACCACCACCAGAGAUGCCAAGUGGUAUGCCGGGUAUGUUAGAACCCUCUUUUAUGUACCAAAACAUCGCUGGCAUAUUGGGCUCCACGCGUAACAGACGAGAGGCGAAAGGCGGCGGUGCCAUACCCACAAGAAAAGGAUAGUUUUGUUGAACUUGAAACUAUAAAUUUAUUUGAUUUAACGACCCGACGACCAUGCAUGUUUGGAUUCCUAAUUAACUUUUAUUAAACUAAGAUUGAGCAAAUUA